rnacentral:rRNA from 1 species
AUUGAACGCUGGCGGCAUGCUUUACACAUGCAAGUCGAACGGUAACAGGCCUUCGGGCGCUGACGAGUGGCGAACGGGUGAGUAAUGCAUCGGAACGUGCCCAGUCGUGGGGGAUAACGCAGCGAAAGCUGUGCUAAUACCGCAUACGAUCUGCGGAUGAAAGCGGGGGACCUUCGGGCCUCGCGCGAUUGGAGCGGCCGAUGUCAGAUUAGGUAGUUGGUGGGGUAAAGGCUCACCAAGCCAACGAUCUGUAGCGGGUCUGAGAGGACGACCAGCAACACUGGGACUGAGACACGGCCCAGACUCCUACGGGAGGCAGCAGUGGGGAAUUUUGGACAAUGGGCGCAAGCCUGAUCCAGCAAUGCCGCGUGCAGGAAGAAGGCCUUCGGGUUGUAAACUGCUUUUGUACGGAGCGAAAAGGCUCCCUCUAAUACAGGGGGCUCAUGACGGUACCGUAAGAAUAAGCACCGGCUAACUACGUGCCAGCAGCCGCCGUAAAAC